rnacentral:lncRNA from 1 species
AAAAACUGUCAAGGUCCAAAUGGAACUCGAUUCACUGCCAGUAUGAACAAUAUAUCUUUUGUGCUACCAUCCAAUUUUUCCCUGCUACAAGCACAUCACAAUGGCAUUCCUGGUGUUUUCUCAACUGAUUUCCCAGCUGUGCCACCUGUAAAAUUUGAUUAUACUGGCAAUGUAAGCCGGUCUUUAUGGCAACCUAUUCGAGGAACUAAGCUGUACAAGCUGAAAUAUGGCGCAAGAGUGCAAGUUGUGUUACAGGGGACUAAUAUCUCCACAGCUGAGAACCACCCAAUUCACCUUCACGGAUAUGAUUUCUACAUCAUUGCAGAGGGUUUCGGUAACUUUAAUCCAAAAAGAGAUGCAUCUAAAUUCAACCUUGUUGAUCCACCACUCAGAAACACAGCCAGUGUGCCCGUUAAUGGAUGGGCAGUCAUUAGAUUUGUCGCUGACAAUCCAGGUAAGAUAAAUACUAAUAUGCUAAUAUUCUAUACAAUGUCACAUUUCAAUGAUACAAACUUAACAAUAUUAACUUAAUACAGGAGUGUGGCUAAUGCACUGUCACUUGGAUGUUCACAUUACCUGGGGUUUGGCCAUGGCGUUCCUCGUUGAAAACGGAGUCAGCCAAUUGGAAUCAUUGGAAACUCCACCAGUAGAUCUGCCUGUCUGCUGAUAACUGGAACAAGCAACAUAAUACAAAAUUCAAAGCCCUAGAGAAAUCAAUUUAAUUGCUUUAGUAAUUCCAAGUGAUAUUGUUCCCCCCUUUUAGGGCAAGUUCUUUUUUUUUUUUGUUUGCUCUACUACAUUUUCCCCCUUUUUCCUAGAAUUUAUGGUCAAUAUAGUGCCAAAAAUUGCUAUGUAAUACACCAGAUAUCUUAGAAUUAAGGCAGCAUAUUGCCCAGAUUAAACCAGUUGUAUUGUUUCGAGUGCAGAAGAAUUUACUUGAGUUUUGAACUAAACUUGAAUCUCACAUUGCUAUAACAACAACAACAACAACAAAUCCAGUAUAGUAUAUCAAGAGCAUACAAUGUACGCAGACCUUACCACUACCUCAAGGAGAUAAAGAGUAAACAGUAAAGUGGUUGCUUCCGAAAGACUCUCCGUUAGUGUAACGAACAUCAGAGCAACAGUAAGAAUUGCAUAAAUAGUACGUAAUAAAUUGGGGGAAAAAGACAGAUCACUUUGGAGAAAUUAAGCGAAAAAGCAGACCUAAUCAAUCGUUACCUUCGCGUUCCAUGAUUGCAAUGUUUGUUCAUCAGCCUUUGAGCUUCAGUUCCUCCGGGCUCUGGCGGUCAAUAUGGUGGGGGCAUUGGUACGUUUUCCCGCCGGCGACUGAAGUACUCCGAUCAGCAUAAUUUGUGAUUUCAGCAAAUUUUGCUUGCAAACAUUUUCUUUUGGCAAAAGUAAAUACUUAAUUGAGUUUAUAAUUAAAUACUUAUAAAUAUUUGGUAUAAAUUUUUU